GUUGCCCUGGCAGACACGGCGCGGCUCCUCUUUCAUCUGGGGGGUCUGGUAUGACGCAAGAUACGUGGCGGACCAUAUCGCCAAGCAACAC
rnacentral:tRNA from 1 species